AGGCGGCCGCGCGUCACCUUGGAGCCACCUCCCACCCAAGCGCGGUCGCGCGGUGGCCGGUGACUCGGCCGGCGACUGCCCCUGGGCCCCGGCGGGGCGAAGAGGAAGAGAUCGCUCAUAACGCACUGGUCCGGCUUCGCUCGCCAAAAAAGGAAGAUGCGCCCCAGCAGUCUGUGUUCAAAGUGAGGAAAGAGAACAAGUGUGACUUGCAAACUUGUAAUGGCUGAGUAACGUGUCUCCGCGGAUACUCAGAGGAGUGCUUGGGGCCGUCGCUCCCGAAGGGAUCAGUGGGGAGAGCAAGCUGCCUUUUUACCACCCUGACCCAGGCAGGAGAUGUGUCUUCUACAGAUCCCACGUGCUCCUUUGCCACCGCAGCUGAUGUCGCCUGUCAUGUAUCAGAAGUGCCGCGUGGAGCAAGCCCAGUAGAGUGUGAGAGCAUUUCUCUGGCAGAAGCCUGGCCCCCGCCUCCCCCGCUGCAGUAACGUAGAACGCCUAGCUGGAGAAAUCAAGUGCAUCCUGUGUGACCCCAUUGGGAGAAGACUCUGGAAGCUUAUGCCUGGUUUCCUCUGGACUUUGCCCCUUGAGCUUUUCAUCUUUGCUGAUUCUACUUUGUGUCCUUUUGUUAUAAUAAAUCGUAGACAUGAGCGUGACUGUAUAUUGACUCCUGCAAGUCCUUCGAGCAAAUUGUCAGGUCUGGGAUGGUCUUGGGAACCCCUGACAGGGAAGUGAAUGUGACUGAGUUUAGGGCACUACUCCAGAAUGUAUUCGAAAGCUCUGAUUUCCCCCCCCCUUUUUUUUUCCUCUAAAUGUAUAUGACCUGUGAUUUGGGAUAAAAGAUUGUGUAACUGUAUCCACAAACACACAUACAGUAAAAUAUAGUUUGUGUGUAUAAC